AGAUAAACAGGGGUUUACAUACACAUAGUUAAAGUAGUCCUUUCUUUCUUGUUAUAACAAUAAGGGCCACUGUUUUUGUGUUUGGUCUUGAGUGACAAAAUAUUUAUACUAAAAUACUUAAGAAUAAAUACUGGAAAGAUGGGAUAAGUUUUUGUUUUUAAACAUCUGUUUUAAAGUGAUAUGAGGGAGUGAAAUUAAAUUUAAUAAUCUCUCUUCCUUCCUCUGCUUUUGAAUUCAUAAGACAGUGUGGUAGGACAUAUGUUUCAGAUCUACUGUGGUAUUUUCAGAUGUAGACAAUUCAUUAUCCUUGGUUCUCCUUUUCUAUGUAAACCAUGAUUUUUCUAAGUACAAAAUUGUCUACUAAAUUGUCCCCAGGUUACACAACACAAAAAGUAUUUGUAUACAGUAAAGCAUUACCUCCACCUGCUAUAGACAGUGUUUAUCCUGCACUUUUUUUUUUUUUUUACUAAUUUUUUCCUACUGGACUGUAGCCAGGAAGCUCAAUAGUUAGUUGGAAAGCAAAGGAUUUUUCAUGUCAAAUUGUCCAGUUUAUUUUACAUAAGUUUAACUAACUAUUGGUCCUUUUUUUUGAGAGAGUAGAAGGGAAUUCCUUCCGUGCUUUUAGUAGAUGCUUCUCCACUAGAAAACUCAUUUUUGCUGUCCUUGUCAUAACUGUAUGGCAAACAGGUAUACAGAUUGCAAGGUAUACAGGUAUAGGACCAGAGAGAUUAUUGUGUUUACAAAGGAGUAGUGAAAUGAAGAGCUUACCCAUGUCCUGGGCUCAUGGAAGGGUUCCAAGAGGAAGGAUCUUUGGGAGUCAGCCCUUAAAUGGGGUCUAGGAGGAGUGGAGCCUGGCAUCAAUCCUUCCGGUCACUCAGGUGAAAUUGCAUUCACCUGUGCCCCUGCAGCUGACUCAGCACUCACCUCAGGUGGUCAAUCAGAGGUUCAGGCUGUGAUUCAACAGUUCCCAUACACAUAACCCAACUCAGAUAUGUGAGUACUUUAAAUCUGACCACAGGAUGUGUGCAGAUUUAAGUACUCAGCUAUAGGACUUCUGCGCAAAGGUUAAUCAUUCACUCAAAAAUGUUCAUCCAUUGUACCAACUACCUGCUUGUUCUGAUGUAUAUAAUAUUUUCUGAACAACUUUGAUUAUACCUGUGCCCACCUGUAUGCCUCAGAGCAUCACCCCUUCCUGGACCAGUAGACCAGAUUAAUCAGAAAGAGAACUUUACCACACAGAACCUAAAUCUUUUGGCUGACUGUCCAUGUGAAUCAGUCAGUCGAGUACAAAGCAGAAACAUAACAUUUUUUUUCUCCCAUGUCCAACAAAGCUGUGCUUAAUUAGGCAUUUAAGAGAGACUUAACUUCCACAGUUCUCACCACACGUUAUUUUCAAGCAACUCAGUGAUCUGAAACAGCAAUUAGUUUCAAUUCACACCUAUUAUCUGCCUUUAGUUCACUGUUAAUUCAAAGUCUAAAUUCCCCUCCUUGACAAAAUAUGAUAAUUUUCUCUUUUUGUAAGUGUUUCCUCUGAAGUUCUGAAAACUAUCAAAGCCAAAUGCCAUUACUUAAAACCUCAUACAGAAGACUGAAAUCAUUUCUCAACUUUUCUGCUCUCAUGUUUUUAUCCUCUUGCUUUCCCUCAGUGUAUUGUUUCAACACUCCUUUCUUCAACAUACUUCUCCCUAAAUCACUGUCAUAUCUUUAUGGGAUUUCAUAGUGCUACCAAUAAAGAGGAUUUGGAUCAAUGUAGUAGCAUAGAACACUACAAAUAAGCAAGAAAUAAAAGAUCAGGCAGAAAGGCUGAAACAUAAGGUCUUCCCCUUUCUUACACAUCACAAGCUGUUCUGCAGUUCCACCAGGAGAGUACUUAAUAUGAAAAAAGAGAAGACUUCAAAACCUAAAUUACUUAAAAAUGCCUGCAAACAAAUGAACAAACAAAAAUUUAAAAAAUAGCCCCCAUUCUAUUAUUUAUCAGUUGGUUAUAAAUAAAUCAGUGAUACCCACAGCUCUGUGGGUAUAGCUUAUUCUUGUCACUUAUUUGUUCCAGAUGUUACUGCUACUUAAUAACAGAUAUUAACGGGUAAAAAUAACUUAAUCUUCAAAGGUCUUUUGUCUAAGUGCCUCUUCUGCAACUUGAACAAGAUCACACUCAGAAAAGGACUCAGAAAAGAAAACAGUCAAGUGAGUACCAGCAUAAACACUUGAAAUAUGCAUUUGUUACUACUAUAUCCCAUUAUUUUUCCUUUUGAAAACCAAUGCUCAUAAAUUCUGACAACUGAUUACCUUAAUUGCUGUUAUUAGCUUUUUAGAAGUUUAUUCUAUGUAAUUUUAAAAUUGAUCUUCUCCUUAGUUUUUGAAUGCUAAUUUUGAAUUUUGUGAAAAAAAUAAGAAGAGGAAUGACAUUUCAAAUAUCUUGCUGAUGAGCUGACAAUACAGAAUUACCCAUCACUACUAAAUGACUUUUCCUCCAUAUACAGUAAAAAGUUACUUACCAGUGCACCUGUUGAUGUGCUUUCAUACAUACUGCAGAAUUAGUAUGUUAGAUAUACUGCUUUGAGGUCCUGCAAACCAAAAAAUCUGCUAAACUUUCAUCUCUUCAAUUACAUUGCCAGUGUUACACAAAAUAGUUUGAAAUUCUUUCUCAGAAGAGCCCAUCAUGAAAUCUCCACACAUUUCAAGAUUGACAACAUUUAUAUGAGUCUUUUUAGUAUGUCCACAGACUGUAUAUAUGUUUAUUGUGGAUUGUAUUUUAAAAAACAAGGUUUUCAGUGAAAAAGUGGGGAGACAGACAGUUCUACGCUUGAUGAGAUUUUAGAAAAAUCUGAGCUGAAUCUGUUGGUUCAGAUGGAAAUCUGGACCUAUUCCUAAUAUGAACCAUGGGCACAUCUUCAGAUUUUCUGAUUUUGGCACAAAUGUUUACAGUUUAUACGUAUGCUAUACAACACUGCCAAACAACCUUCAAGCUCCAGCUUAUAAAUCUUGUGCAUACCUUCAGACAAAUGCAAAUGUACAUAUGAAAAUUACUCUAAUGAAAAUUUGAAUUCUCUCUCACUUCAGUUGCUAAGAAGACAAGCAUAUGCACACAGGUCAGUUUGCAGUUAACUAUGUUAAAGACCUAAAUAAACUCAACAUCAGAUGAAACUUAAAAGCCAAAUUAGAAUUUACCCAAAUAUACUAUCCAUUUGAGACAAAUUUGUUUUAUAGAGCUACCAUCUCACACUCUUUCCAAAAUGGAAAUGCAGAGCAACAGCAAAAUAACUGCAAAGAAUUUGACUCAAAAAAACUUUUGGGACAUUUUGUCCAAAAAAACCCAGUCCUUCUUGAUGUGUAAAGUUAUAUAGAAUCUGCACAAUUAUUUGAGAUAUCAAAAUAGAGAAAGGAAAUUAAUGAACUUCAUAUUUGUAUAACGACAGAAAGUGGGGAUUAAAAAAACAGCAAAUCUUAGCUGGUGGUCAGAACUUUGUCUCCAAACCAACGAGGAAUACAACUGUACUUGCUUUGCAAGGGUUAAUUCUGGAAAUCUCAGCAGUACAUUUUCUAGAAAAUUUUGUUGCAUACUGCAGUCAAAUCUGGCCUACCACCAGAGAUUCAGCCUCUCAAAAUUGAGGAUGUUCAAGCUCUAAACACUUACAAAUGCUCUGCUUUUCAUCUACAUUUCCUAUCAAAUUUAGAAACAUCUUUCAUAUGUUUAGUUUUAACACAGAUUUCAGUACUCCUUGAACUUAUUUUAAACCAUUUCAUAGCUAUCCUUCCUGCCUGUUCAACACAUCAAGUGCUUCAGUGCCAGCUG
ensembl:lncRNA